rnacentral:rRNA from 1 species
GCCAGCACCCGCGGUAAUACGUAGGUGCGAGCGUUGUCCGGAAUUACUGGGCGUAAAGGGCUCGUAGGUGGUUUGUCGCGUCGUCUGUGAAAUUCUGGGGCUUAACUCCGGGCGUGCAGGCGAUACGGGCAUAACUUGAGUGCUGUAGGGGUAACUGGAAUUCCUGGUGUAGCGGUGAAAUGCGCAGAUAUCAGGAGGAACACCGAUGGCGAAGGCAGGUUACUGGGCAGUUACUGACGCUGAGGAGCGAAAGCAUGGGUAGCGAACAGGAUUAGAUACCCUGGUAGUCCAUGCCGUAAACGAUGAGUGCUAGGUGUUGGCGGUCAAACCUCGGUGCCGCAGCUAAC